rnacentral:lncRNA from 1 species
GAAAAAUCUAAACUACCAACCUUAAAAAUGUGAGGUGCUUCAGACUUUCUAGUUUUGCAUAAAUAUUGUCAUCUAAUUUCAUUUCUCUCCGUCACUGGCGUCUGUCCACUGUUUGAUUGAUCAUUUUGCCAAUUAUUUGAAUCGUGGUGGUAUUUAGUCGCCAAUAGAAACCAAUUUCAUCAUCAGUUAUUUGGUUUCAUCUUCUUCACAAUCAGUUUCCCAUAAAUGGUGACAAUAAUUUAUCAUAGUUCUGAAGAUUGCAGGUGGAUUACAUUAUAUUUCACAUCAGAUUUCCAACAAUGCUGAUAUGGGCUUUCAAUUUCAACAAGGCACGAGGCAUGGAUGCAUCAUGUGGUCAUGCAAUAGAGUGCUGUUGUCAAGGAGAUUGAUGGAUGGUAAGAACAGGAAAGAAAAGCAAAAAACUGGUACAAGGAGAUUGAUGGAUUACCAUCUGUAGCAAAAAUGAAGUAGCCUAAAUGGGGAAGAGGGCAGAUAUUGACAUGAAGUCAUUCAAAAUGAGGAGGCUGGAGUAGAAUACUAUUAACAGGUUCUUGGUUUACCUUUAAUUCUAGAGAUUCUUUUUACUUACCUUAUUUUGUUACCUUCGAAACUUAUUCUCUCUACCAAAUGCAUUUACUUGCUAUCAGCACAAAUACAGUCUAUGUUUCUGUCUUGCAAACUAAUUAUUGUAGACAAAAAAAGAAAAAGAAAAUGAAAAAUUAUUGUUAAACUAACACAGCCA